CAGGAGGUUCGUUAGGACGAGGAUUGGGAAAAUGUGUUCACUCUCAGAAAAAAAGGCAUCUUCUUGGCACUUCUGUUUUGGUGUUUCUCCUCCUACCUCUCGUCUUCUCCUGCAAAAGCACCAAGAGUAAAGAGGAGAUCUCUCAGGAUUAUGAGUAUAUCAUUCAGAAGCAGCUGGAGCACAUUAACUUGAGUAUUCAGAGACAGGUGGAGUCCUGCGGGGAACGAAAGCUCGUGCUGCAGAAUUUAUUCCCGAUCGAGCGCAUCAGCACCGUGUCCUGCACCCGUUUACCGAGGAACAUAAGUGGUCAGCUGCACACUGAAUUACGGAACCUCGUGAGGGACAUAACGGUAUCGCUGGGAUGUCCCUGUUCUGCAAACCAGACCGAGCAGGCAGAGAGGUGGCCGGACUCCCAGCCUUUACAGAAGAAGUUUUGCCGACUGAAACGUUUGCUCAUGACGAUACAGAAAGCGUACGAACAAUACAACUCGGCUUAGUAAGUGUGGGCCACCGUGAGCGCCGAUUGAAAGAUGUUCUAAAUCUGAAAUAAUAAUAAUAAAAACAAUAGUAAUAAUAAAUAAAAUAUCGAAGCAUGGCUUCCUUACAAAGCUUUGCAUGGCACCUUGUAUAUGAGAGGACAUACACUCAUAACGAAGUGGCGAGUGAAACACGCCCGCUGCUUGGAGAGCAAAAAUCAGCCGGAUGCAGGAUCCAUCAUGAAUCGUACAACCAGC
ensembl:lncRNA